rnacentral:rRNA from 1 species
AGCUAAUAGAUACCCGGGUAGUCCCAGCUGUAAACGAUGCAGACUCGGUGAUGGGAUGGCCUCGAGCUUUCCCAGUGCCGCAGGGAAGCCGUUAAGUCUGCCGCCUGGGGAGUACAGUCGCAAGACUGAAACUUAAAGGAAUUGGCGGGGGAGCACCACAAGGGGUGAAAGCCUGCGGUUCAAUUGGAGUCAACGCCGGGAAUCUUACCGGGGGAGACAGCAGAGUGAAGGUCAAGCUGAAGACUUUACCAGACAAGCUGAGAGGAGGUGCAUGGCCGUCGCCAGCUCGUGCCGUGAGGUGUCCUGUUAAGUCAGGUAACGAGCGAGAUCCCUGCCUCUAGUUGCUACCUUUACUCUCAGGAGUCGAGGGGCUAAUUAGAGGGACCGCCGCCGCUGAGGCGGAGGAAGGAGGGGGCUACGACAGGUCAGUAUGCCCCGGAAACCUUCGGGCCACACGCGGGCUGCAAUGGUAAGGACAAUGGGUGUCGAUUCCGAAAGGAGGAGGCAAUCCCUAAACCUUACCCCAGUUAUGAUUGAGGGCUGAAACUC